AUUCUUUAGUCGACUGUUAACGUGGAUAGUUGCUUUUGUGAUUUGUGUUAAGAAAAUAUAGAUAAAUCUAAUUAGAUCUUUUUGAUUAACUUUACCAAAGGGCAGAAGGUUAAUGGAAUGGUCACGCUGGGAAAGAAGAAGGAACGAACUGCUGCCGCAACCCACAACGGGAUCCUUAUGGUUUUCCUUGCCAAAGGGAUGAAGGAAGUCCAUUUGAAUAAUGGUCGCGCUGGUAGGGAAGGCACUCUUUACAAC